GGUCGGAUAGGCCGUGUGGGUUGGCGAGGUCGUGCCCCUUCCUUCGGGUGUGGCCAAGUUUGGAGGAUUCUUAGGUGGAAAAAGCACCUCUACUCGCGGAGGAAAACGAGAGGUUCCGAGUGGGAGUUCUGGGGCUGCUCGGGUUCGAAUUCCACUCCUCCUCUCGGGGUCCUUUGGCGGUGACUCAAUCUGUGUGUUUCCUCCUCUGGAAAAUGGGGAUAAUGAUAGUGCCCUCCUUGAAGGAAUGCUGUGGGGAGUAAAUAAGAUAAGGCAUGUGAAGGAUUUUCCUAGCAAGGAAUUCACACAGCAGAUGAGGUAGCUGAGCCUUAGAGAGGUUUUCCUGUGGUCUCCACUCCGGUGUGGGAGAGCUGGGACUUGUAAUCUGAUGUUCAGAUCUGCUCCUAAGCACAACGAUCGAGUCACAACAGUGAUUUCAAGCACCAGAGAGAAGAAACCCCGACAUGUGGGCAAGAACACCAUCCAAACUCUAACCACAAGCUGUCAUUUAUCUGUGUAAUGCCAUGGAAACUGUGAUUUAAACUCUCCAAUAUCCCUAAUGACUUGCUUGCAUAAAUGACUUUUUGGGUGACUAUUAGAGUUAGCCUUAUAAGUGGACAUGAAGGGAUGUGAUUUGAGAUGAGCCAAACAGCUCAAUACCUCCUCCCCUGUUGGCUGUGGCUCCUCUGAAGUUCCACCAUUAGUAAUUCAUGCCACUGAAUCAAAGGUGAUUUUUCAUUAUAUGAGACUCCUAAUAAAAAUAUCCCUGGGUGGAUAAUUGAAGCAGGUAUAUAGGAGCCAGGUGAGCUGCUGCCUUCUCUAACCUCAGCAACCACUCACACCCCUUCCAACCUGGCCUGGUGCAUAUGAACUUUAUAAGAUCCUAGUUCAGUCCUGGCCAGUUCUGGAGCAAUUCAGAAAGUUAGUGUCCUUCACCUACCAGUAGGAAGGAUUUGGCAGUUCAUUCAUUCAUUCAGCAAAUGUUUACUCAGCAGCUUUGGGGCUACUAGAGUAAACAAAGUCUCUGCCCUCAUGGAGUUUACAUUAUGGUGUAGGAGAUAAAGACAGUGACAAAUUCACCAAUAAAUGCAUGGUGAUGAGGGCUGUGAAGAGAAACAAAUCAGGGUAAGUGGGCUGGAGAGUGUUAGGGAUGGGGAAAGAUGUGUGUGAUGUUUUACACAGAGUGGACAGGGAAGUUCUCUGGGAUAAGGAGACAAUUGGCAGAGAGCUGUAAACAGUGGGUGACCCAGCCACACGGGGGAAGAGCUUCCAGGCAGCGGGAGCAGGGGCAUGCUUGGUGUGUUUGAGGGAAGCAAACUGGGUGGAGUUUGAGGAAAGCAAACUGGCAGGGUGGAAACUUGGGGAAGGUGAUCCAUGAGCAGUCAGGGAGAUGGAGUAGAUAGGAACAGUUAUUCUCUGUAUAAAACAUGUGUCAGCUUGGCCAGGUGAUGGUGUCCAGUUGUCUGCUCAAGCAAGCAUUGGCCUAACUUACUGCAGGGACAUUUG